rnacentral:rRNA from 1 species
UACGGGGGGAGCAAGCGUUGUUCGGAUUUACUGGGCGUAAAGGGCGCGUAGGCGGUCAGCACAAGUCAGUUGUGAAAUCUCCGGGCUUAACUCGGAAAGGUCAACUGAUACUGUGCGACUAGAGUGCAGAAGGGGCAACUGGAAUUCUCGGUGUAGCGGUGAAAUGCGUAGAUAUUCGGAGGAACACCAGUGGCGAAGGCGGCUCACUGGUCCGGUACUGACGCUGAGGUGCGAAAGCGUGGGGAGCAAACAGG